UACGAAGGGGGCUAGCGUUGUUCGGAAUCACUGGGCGUAAAGCGCGCGUAGGUGGUUUGUUAAGUUGGAUGUGAAAGCCCCGGGCUCAACCUGGGAACUGCAUUCAAAACUGACAAGCUAGAGUAUGGUAGAGGGUGGUGGAAUUUCCUGUGUAGCGGUGAAAUGCGUAGAUAUAGGAAGGAACACCAGUGGCGAAGGCGACCACCUGGACUGAUACUGACACUGAGGUGCGAAAGCGUGGGGAGCAAACAGG
rnacentral:rRNA from 1 species